CCUGUUAGUUAUAGAUAGCUAUUAGCAAGAGAAAGCUCCCAUUAGUUUCAGAAAGCCCCUGUUGGAUGAAUUCUGUUAAGUCCCAUUGGCUGGACAUGGCGUCUGUUAACUCCAGUUGUAUGCACUUUGCUCCAGUUAGCUCAAUUUAAUGACUUUUAUCUAGGGUGACCAAGUGUCCCGCUUUGUGCGGAACUGCACAGCAUUUUCAUCCCUUUUUCCACGUCCCACCCAUUGAGACGCUGUCCCGCAUUUUGAUUGGCAGCUAUAAUUUUCAAAAGUUAAAACUCUAAAGGACAGAUGCUAGGAGUUUUGUUUUUCAUGUGGCUUUUUUCUCUGUUAGUCAAACAGCCCAGAUGUGCGAUCACGACCAGAUUAACCUGUCAGUGUCUUGCUGCCGCACCUUGUUGUCAGUUGCCGUAAAUUGUGCCAGUCGCGACCGGUCGCGACACACCGCAAAGCAGACACAAACACUAAACUAUGGAUUUUGGCGGAGAUAAUGGAAAGUACAGCAAAGAAGAGGAGAUGCAGCUUCAACAAAGACUGGGAAACUACAUAUCACUGGGUGAAGCCGGUGCAAGGUGAUUCUCAGACAGUUUUCUGUGAAGUUUGCCAGAGUUCGUUUUCCGUUUCACACGGUGGGGAAUACGACGUGAAGCGACACAGUACAGCGAGACCACCCUCUCAGCUUUGCUCAGUAAACAUUUCUGAUUGGCCCUCACCGUCCGUGGUGGAGCGUGACUGGCUCUUGAGGCGGAGCGAAGGCCUGAAUCUUGUGCGGUCGUUGAAGCUCCAGCUCUUCUGGACCUUGGCUGGACUUGUUCCCUCGGUGCCGGCGUCGGCCCCUGGGGACCGCCGGUCGUUCACAGAGGACGUCUGCCGGUUCUUGAUGCUCUGACCACGGGGGCUUGCCAUCCUCACCCGCUCCUUGAAGCUCAACUUCUGGCUGGAAUUGGGAUGAAGAGCAGCACAGCGGAGAUGUUGGAGCGAAGAGAAGGAGAAGAAUGGUGUGAAAUGACAGACAGCACCUCCUCUGUUGGAAAAGCUCAGUCUUCGCUCAAGCCCCACCUCCUGAAAAGCCCGGUCAGCUCUGAUUGGUCAGCUGGUCCAACGAAAGCCAGGUAGCGUUGGUUAGUAACCCCAGAUCUAUCAGUUUAGAGAUUUUAGUUCUAGCAGACACAGCUUUAGCAAGGAAAUAGUGACAGGUUAUAAAACAGCUGCUCUUUCUUAGCAGGUAUUAUUUCAUACAUGAUGAUGUCGAUAAGUAACAGAACAAAAACCUAGACUUUAAAGGAGGUUUUUCAGGCAUCUAAGGAGCAGUUUUCUGGCGGAGGGAAUAAUUAUUUGCUGUGACUGGGGUUUUUGUAAGUUUGCAGACUUUUUACAUGCACAAAAAGCACGUGAAAUAACACUUAAGGAAAGGAUAAAUAAAAGCACAAUAUGGGCUCUUUAAGGGAUUGUCUGUGUUUAUGGAGCUAUAUAAAAAAUCAAAGCAUGCAGAGGCAGUGCAUAAGCGUCAGGCACAGCUCGUUUGAAAACAUUAUCGUGUACUGGGCUGAACAUCUGUUGUUUUGCUUCAGAAUAUAAUGCUUGUAUCUAUAUUUUUCCUACUGUAAGCAAUCUAAUGAAAAGAAAAACAAUGACUUAUUCUGUCUUUCAGCAUUUUUUUCACUGUAACUGAGUAAUAUCCUAAAACUGCGGGACACUGUAGGUUUUAACACAUGAUUCUUCAACAGGUGUAUAUAAUAACACUAUUUUAAGUUGCGGAUUAACCCUCUGAAUCCCAGAAGUUGCCUGUAGGUUUGAAAGGCAAAAAAAUAAAAAUACAAAUGACACCAAAAACAGAGAGCAUCAGCGGAUUUUCAACUUUCUGGCACUCUUUGAAUUACACGUGUGAAAGUGAACCAAAUCUAAGCUUGAAAUCAGUCAUCAAAAUCACUAUUUUUAAACAAUUCAACACUACUUGGUGCAACAGAAAAGUCAUGAGUGACUCAGCUGCAACCAACAGUCAUGGCAUGAAAAUUCAGAGUUCUUAGAUGAAUGAGAUGCUGUGUUUACACAGACCAGAGAGGAAAAUGAAACAUAUUUAUGGUCAACAGAGGAGCAAGUUAUUGGAAGAUACAUUCAGCACGGUGAAACAUUUUUCUGCAGUUGAUUUGCUGAGUAGUAUGAAAAAGGUUGCAAAAUAUAAAUGGUUAAAUAUCUUUAGCAAGUGGAGACACUUCCAGUUUCUUAAAAUUUUUGCAAAGUGGAUAAUCUUGGGGAAAAUUAUCAAAAUCUAAGCUUAAAAUCAUAUUUUCAUCAAAGUCACUGUAUUCUACUACUACUACUCUAACUCGUUUAAGAAUUUGCCAAAAACAAACCCUUUGCAGUAACCAAAUGUCGUUAAAAAAUAAAAAAAAUGCAAGCUGCGUUUCCACAGAGCAGAAAGCAAAUGCGUAAGGAAGCAAAUAAGAAAUGCAAGUUGUAAAAAUGUUUACAGUGUGUAGAGCCACCAUUUUUUCCAGUGUCUGCAACCCCUUUGGUCACCUCAAAAAUGUCAAAUGUGGUUCUUCCAGAUUAUUUAAACUUUUGCAAAAUAAAGAAAAAAAUUCUACUUUUGUUUUUAUUUUAUGAUUUACUGCACAAAAGACACUUUUGAGUUCAUUCUUAUUCUAGUCAUGGUUGUGCUGUUGCAAUCAAAAUGCAGGACUUCAUACUACAGUGAAAAAUUAGCUUAUAGUGAGGAAAAAUGUGUCAGGAGUGCAAAAAAAUGAAAAAAAAAGGUUCAGAGGGUUGAUACACAUUUGGUACAGUAAUGAGUAUUUACAAUAGGCAGAUGUUGCAAGUGUUCAUGAUAAUGAUAGAAUUACACAAAUACACAGAUUUUUAGCUGUUUUUUUUCCCUGAGAUUUGUUCACAAUAAAAAACAAAAGCAAACUAGAGUCAUCUCUAACCUAACAGACACUACCUGAAAGUUUAAAAUUUAUUCGUGUGUUAUGAGGAGUGAAGUGCAGUUUAUAGUUUCGAAGCAAGAAAUAAAAAAUGAAGAUAACGCACUACGCAAGAGAUCUUCUGUCUCACUGCAUUCAAGGAAGAAGCUGAUAAUUGUUAGUUGCUUGACAGCGACUGUCAGUGAGAGUGAAACCUGGCACAGACUCUAAUGAUCUGACGGCUAAAAACAAAAACCACAACAGGCAGAAAGUAGUGCAUCGCUCAGGCAAAUAUCAAAGACAGAAAGGCGGAUACUGUACUGCUAUGAAAUCUCCCCGCAGGAUUUAACCGGCUCUGCUGCCUCCUACAGAUACCCAUGCACCAGGAAUUAGUCAGCAUUCCCAAAGAAAAACUGCACGUAGCAGGGAAGCAGAGAUGCUGUGUACCUAUGUCUCCGAGUGGUACACCUCCUCAGUAGCUUCUGCUUAUUACUAUGAAUUUUACUAUAAACCAAGAGGAGAUAGACACACGGGGAUGUGUUACAUGAUGCAGAAACAGAGGAGAGAAAAGUGUUUUUUGUAAUGUUUAGAACAGAUAUUUAGUUCUUCUGAGUCAAAAACGUUUCAGAAAUCCACAUUGUCAUUCUUCAAGGAUAAAUUACCUAACUUUUACCUUUCGUGCGUUUCUUAUUGAGGUAUCCAGAGUCAUGACUAGUUCUAAGCCCAGUUUCAGGUGUCUAAAGUUUUAAUUCUGACUAGUCAUAAUUCUGGAGUAAGAUAUCUUUCAUUCCCUUCUACAUUAUUGUUUUCAGAUAAAUGAAGCUUAAACUGGUCAAAAUGUAUCUUGAAUUAACUAAAUAAUGUUGCAGAUAUUUGUUUUUACAUCAGAAGCUACGGCAAGUGGAAGAUGGAGGAAUAUGACGCACCAUUGUAACAUUGAAUUUAAAUUACAGAUAUUAACAGCUACAUUUUGACUAGUUGUAGUUAAACUGAGACUAGUCGGUAUUUUUAUUCAAGAGAAAAGAGGUAGUGCUAAAUUUUAGGGAA